rnacentral:rRNA from 1 species
UACGUAGGGGGGCAAGCGUUAAUCGGAAUUACUGGGCGUAAAGCGCACGCAGGCGGCUUUUUAAGUCGGAUGUGAAAGCCCCGGGCUCAACCUGGGAAUUGCAUCUGAUACUGGGAAGCUAGAGUAUGUGAGAGGGGGUAGAAUUCCAAGUGUAGCGGUGAAAUGCGUAGAGAUUUGGAGGAAUACCAGUGGCGAAGGCGGCCCCCUGGCACAAUACUGACGCUCAGGUGCGAAAGCGUGGGGAGCAAACAGGG